UACGGAGGGUGCAAGCGUUAUCCGGAUUCACUGGGUUUAAAGGGUGUGUAGGCGGGCAUUUAAGUCAGUGGUGAAAUCUCCAGGCUCAACCUGGAAACUGCCAUUGAUACUAUUUGUCUUGAAUCCUGUUGAGGUGGGCGGAAUAUAUCAUGUAGCGGUGAAAUGCUUAGAUAUGAUAUAGAACACCAAUUGCGAAGGCAGCUCGCUACACGAAUAUUGACUCUGAGGCACGAAAGCGUGGGGAUCAAACAGG
rnacentral:rRNA from 1 species